CCCCUCUCAGCAUUGCACCUGGAGAGUUUCCAGUAUUCUACCAGUCUCAGCUAUGGGAGGGAGAGUCAAGUGGAGACGUACCCAUUCCAGUUCUAGCUUGGGCAGUGGUUAGCAAGUAGAAGGCAAUCUGCUACAAGU